rnacentral:rRNA from 1 species
GAUGAACGCUGGCGGCGUGCCUAAUACAUGCAAGUCGAGCGAACGGACGAGAAGCUUGCUUCUCUGAUGUUAGCGGCGGACGGGUGAGUAACACGUGGAUAACCUACCUAUAAGACUGGGAUAACUUCGGGAAACCGGAGCUAAUACCGGAUAAUAUUUUGAACCGCAUGGUUCAAAAGUGAAAGACGGUCUUGCUGUCACUUAUAGAUGGAUCCGCGCUGCAUUAGCUAGUUGGUAAGGUAACGGCUUACCAAGGCAACGAUGCAUAGCCGACCUGAGAGGGUGAUAGGCCACACUGGAACUGAGACACGGUCCAGACGCCUACGGGAGGCAGCAGUAGGGAAUCUUCCGCAAUGGGCGAAAGCCUGACGGAGCAACGCCGCGUGAGUGAUGAAGGUCUUCGGAUCGUAAAACUCUGUUAUUAGGGAAGAACAUAUGUGUAAGUAACUGUGCACAUCUUGACGGUACCUAAUCAGAAAGCCACGGCUAACUACGUG